rnacentral:rRNA from 1 species
UACGUAGGGUGCAAGCGUUGUCCGGAAUUAUUGGGCGUAAAGAGCUCGUAGGCGGUUUGUCGCGUCUGCUGUGAAAACUCGGGGCUUAACUCCGGGCCGGCAGUGGGUACGGGCAGACUAGAGUGCGGUAGGGGAGACUGGAAUUCCUGGUGUAGCGGUGAAAUGCGCAGAUAUCAGGAGGAACACCGGUGGCGAAGGCGGGUCUCUGGGACGUAACUGACGCUGAGGAGCGAAAGCGUGGGGAGCGAACAGG